UGCAAGUCGAGCGGUAGAGAGAAGCUUGCUUCUCUUGAGAGCGGCGGACGGGUGAGUAAAGCCUAGGAAUCUGCCUGGUAGUGGGGGAUAACGUUCGGAAACGGACGCUAAUACCGCAUACGUCCUACGGGAGAAAGCAGGGGACCUUCGGGCCUUGCGCUAUCAGAUGAGCCUAGGUCGGAUUAGCUAGAUUGGUGAGGUAAUGGCUCACCAAGGCGACGAUCCGUAACUGGUCUGAGAGGAUGAUCAGUCACACUGGAACUGAGACACGGUCCAGACUCCUACGGGAGGCAGCAGUGGGGAAUAUUGGACAAUGGGCGAAAGCCUGAUCCAGCCAUGCCGCGUGUGUGAAGAAGGUCUUCGGAUUGUAAAGCACUUUAAGUUGGGAGGAAGGGCAUUAACCUAAUACGUUAGUGUUUUGACGUUACCGACAGAAUAAGCACCGGCUAACUCUGUGCCAGCAGCCGCGGUAAUACAGAGGGUGCAAGCGUUAAUCGGAAUUACUGGGCGUAAAGCGCGCGUACGUGGUUUGUUAAGUUGGAUGUGAAAUCCCCGGGCUCAACCUGGGAACUGCAUUCAAAACUGACUGACUAGAGUAUGGUAGAGGGUGGUGGAAUUUCCUGUGUAGCGGUGAAAUGCGUAGAUAUAGGAAGGAACACCAGUGGCGAAGGCGACCACCUGGACUAAUACUGACACUGAGGUGCGAAGCGUGGGGAGCAACAGGAUUACAUACCCUGGUAGUCCACGCCGUAACGAUGUCAACUAGCCGUUGGAGCCUUGAGCUCUUAGUGGCGCAGCUAACGCAUUAAUUGACCGCCUGGGGAUUACGGCCGCAGGUUAAACUCUAAUGAUUGACGGGGGCCCGCACAGCGUGGAGCAUGUGGUUAAUUCGAACCACCGCGAAAACCUUACAGGCUUGACGUCUAUGAACUUCCAAAGAUAC
rnacentral:rRNA from 1 species